UUUUUCCUACAAGUUGAGAUAAGGGAAUCCGGACGUUGUAUUUUGGUGUGAAUGCCUGCACGAGUGCAGGAAUCCUAAAAACUUACACAGGAUGCCCACCUGUAUAUACAGGGAAAA
rnacentral:sRNA from 2 species